CGCGGCCUAUCAGCUUGUUGGUGGGGUAAUGGCCUACCAAGGCGGCGACGGGUAGCCGGCCUGAGAGGGUGUACGGCCACAUUGGGACUGAGAUACGGCCCAGACUCCUACGGGAGGCAGCAGUGGGGAAUAUUGCACAAUGGGCGCAGGCCUGAUACAGCGACGCCGCGUGGGGGAUGAAGGCCUUCGGGUUGUAAACUCCUUUCGCUAGGGACGAAGCUUUUUUGUGACGGUACCUAGAUAAGAAGCACCGGCUAACUACGUGCCAGCAGCCGCGGUAAUACGUAGGGUGCGAGCGUUGUCCGGAAUUACUGGGCGUAAAGGGCUCGUAGGUGGUUUGUCGCGUCGUCUGUGAAAUUCUGGGGCUUAACUCCGGGCGUGCAGGCGAUACGGACAUAACUUGAGUGCUGUAGGGGUAACUGGAAUUCCUGGUGUAGCGGUGAAAUGCGCAGAUAUCAGGAGGAACACCGAUGGCGAAGGCAGGUUACUGGGCAGUUACUGACGCUGAGGAGCGAAAGCAUGGGUAGCGAACAGGAUUAGAUACCCUGGUAGUCCAUGCCGUAAACGGUGGGCGCUAGGUGUGAGGGUCUUUCUACGACUUUCGUGCCGUAGCUAACGCAUUAAGCGCCCCGCCUGGGGAGUACGG
rnacentral:rRNA from 1 species